rnacentral:rRNA from 1 species
AACGAACGCUGGCGGCAUGCCUAACACAUGCAAGUCGAACGAGACCUUCGGGUCUAGUGGCGCACGGGUUCGUAACGCGUGGGAACCUGCCCUUAGGUUCGGAAUAACUCCCCGAAAGGGGUGCUAAUACCGGAUAAUGUCUUCGGACCAAAGAUUUAUCGCCUUUGGAUGGGCCCGCGUUGGAUUAGCUAGUUGGUAGGGUAAAAGCCUACCAAGGCGACGAUCCAUAGCUGGUCUGAGAGGAUGAUCAGCCACACUGGGACUGAGACACGGCCCAGACUCCUACGGGAGGCAGGAGUGGGGAAUAUUGGACAAUGGGCGAAAGCCUGAUCCAGCAAUGCCGCGUGAGUGAUGAAGGCCUUAGGGUUGUAAAGCUCUUUUACCCGGGAUGAUAAUGACAGUACCGGGAGAAUAAGCUCCGGCUAACUCCGUG